AUCUAUAGCCAUGCUACCCAGAACAAGCCCGAUCCUGUCUGAUCUAGGAAGCUAAGUAGGGUCGGGCCUGGUUAGUACUUAGAUGGGAGACCACCUAGAAGACCAGGUGCUGUAGGCG
rnacentral:rRNA from 1 species